AUGGUCAAAUGGUGGUGGAAACUUGACACCCAAACUGGGAUCUGGCAAGAUAUUGUGAAAGCUAGAUACCUACGUAAUCAGACAGUUGAAAUUGUCGGACCUCGUUUCAAUGAUUCACCAUGUUGGAAAAGCCUGUUAAAAAUCAAGGAUUUAUAUAUGAUUGGAAGAAAAAUCCAUACGGGGUCUGGUAACCUGACUCGGUUAUGGAAAGACUCCAUCAACGGGCUGCUCCCGUUCAUGGAACAAUUUCCCCGUCUCUUCAAUAUCUGUGCAGAACAGGACUGCACCGUGGACAAGCUGGAGUCUGUGGUCUGUACUGACUUC
rnacentral:rRNA from 1 species